GUUUUGGGGUUUAUCUGGGUUCUUACAUUUUGCUCAUGAUUAUUGUUCUUGUAGAUUGAAAUUGGUGAACGGGGGCUGUUGGUCAUAACAAGGCAUCUCAGUUUCGUCACAAAGAGAUUCUUUCGUGCUGCUCUUGGUUGGUUUCAUCAUAGAGAGAGCAAGAGAGCAUGUGAGUGACAAAAAGAGAUAGACAGGCCCUUGAGAUGGAGUGCCUCGCUGGGGUGGAUUCACAUGUCAACUCUCAUCUUUCUUCUGUGAAGAUUGGGAAAAUCCUUAGGAGUGAGUUCUAUAUUUUUGGCACUGGUUCUGGUCGGAAGAGCAGCCUUCAUUUUCCCCUCAUCUUUCUUAUCCAAGAUAAGUUGCUGAUUGGUGCUUAGUGCUUACUAUAAACAUAUUGGUGCUUAGUGCUAACUAUAAAACAGAUUAGUGCAAUAUCAAUGUACUAGGGCUUCUCUUAG